UACGGAGGGUGCAAACGUUGCUCGGAAUCAUUGGGCGUAAAGCGCACGUAGGCGGCUUGUUAAGUCGGGUGUGAAAGCCCCAGGCUCAACCUGGGAAGUGCACUCGAAACUGGCGAGCUUGAAUAUGGAAGAGGGUCGCGGAAUUCCCGGUGUAGAGGUGAAAUUCGUAGAUAUCGGGAGGAACACCAGUGGCGAAGGCGGCGACCUGGGCCAAUAUUGACGCUGAGGUGCGAAAGCGUGAGGAGCAACAGG
rnacentral:rRNA from 1 species